rnacentral:rRNA from 1 species
GGUUAAGCGACUAAGCGUACACGGUGGAUGCCCUGGCAGUCAGAGGCGAUGAAGGGCGUGCUAAUCUGCGAUAAGCGCCGGUAAGGUGAUAUGAACCGUUAUAACCGGCGAUACCCGAAUGGGGAAACCCAGUGUGACUCGUCACACUAUCAUUAACUGAAUCCAUAGGUUAAUGAGGCGAACCGGGGGAACUGAAACAUCUAAGUACCCCGAGGAAAAGAAAUCAACCGAGAUUCCCCCAGUAGCGGCGAGCGAACGGGGAGGAGCCCAGAGCCUGAAUCAGCAUGUGUGUUAGUGGAAGCGUCUGGAAAGGCGCGCGAUACAGGGUGACAGCCCCGUACACAAAAGCGCAUGUGCUGUGAGCUCGAUGAGUAGGGCGGGACACGUGGUAUCCUGUCUGAAUAUGGGGGGACCAUCCUCCAAGGCUAAAUACUCCUGACUGACCGAUAGUGAACCAGUACCGUGAGGGAAAGGCGAAAAGAACCCCGGCGAGGGGAGUGAAAAAGAACCUGAAACCGUGUACGUACAAGCAGUGGGAGCACAGGUUUACCUGUGUGACUGCGUACCUUUUGUAUAAUG